rnacentral:rRNA from 1 species
GUGCUCCAAGUGGGCCAUUUUUGGUAAGCAGAACUGGCGCUGUGGGAUGAACCAAACGUUGAGUUAAAGUGCCAAACUUUCCGCUCAUGAGACCCCAUGAAAGGCGUUGGUUGAUAUAGACAGCAGGACGGUGGCCAUGGAAGUUGGAAACCGCUAAGGAGUGUGUAACAACUCACCUGCCAAAUCAACUAGCCCUGAAAAUGGAUGGCGCUUGAGCGGAAGACUUAUACUCAACCGUUGCAUGGCUUGUGUUCAAAAAAAAAAAAAAAA